GAUGAACGCUGGCGGCGUGCCUAAUACAUGCAAGUCGAGCGAACAGACGAGGAGCUUGCUCCUCUGACGUUAGCGGCGGACGGGUGAGUAACACGUGGAUAACCUCCCUAUAAGACUGGGAUAACUUCGGGAAACCGGAGCUAAUACCGGAUAAUAUAUUGAACCGCAUGGUUCAAUAGUGAAAGACGGUUUUGCUGUCACUUAUAGAUGGAUCCUCGCCGCAUUAGCUAGUUGGUAAGGUAACGGCUUACCAAGGCAACGAUGCGUAGCCGACCUGAGAGGGUGAUCGGCCACACUGGAACUGAGACACGGUCCAGACUCCUACGGGAGGCAGCAGUAGGGAAUCUUCCGCAAUGGGCGAAAGCCUGACGGAGCAACGCCGCGUGAGUGAUGAAGGUCUUCGGAUCGUAAAACUCUGUUAUUAGGGAAGAACAAAUGUGUAAGUAACUAUGCACGUCUUGACGGUACCUAAUCAGAAAGCCACGGCUAACUACGUG
rnacentral:rRNA from 1 species